GAUGAACGCUGGCGGCGUGCCUAAUACAUGCAAGUAGAACGCUGAAGCUUGGUGCUUGCACCGAGCGGAUGAGUUGCGAACGGGUGAGUAACGCGUAGGUAACCUGCCUCUUAGCGGGGGAUAACUAUUGGAAACGAUAGCUAAUACCGCAUAAAAGUCAAUAUCGCAUGAUAUUGAUUUGAAAGGUGCAAAUGCAUCACUAAGAGAUGGACCUGCGUUGUAUUAGCUAGUUGGUGAGGUAACGGCUCACCAAGGCGACGAUACAUAGCCGACCUGAGAGGGUGAUCGGCCACACUGGGACUGAGACACGGCCCAGACUCCUACGGGAGGCAGCAGUAGGGAAUCUUCGGCAAUGGGGGCAACCCUGACCGAGCAACGCCGCGUGAGUGAAGAAGGUUUUCGGAUCGUAAAGCUCUGUUGUAAGAGAAGAACGAGUGUGAGAGUGGAAAGUUCACGCUGUGACGGUAUCUUACCAGAAAGGGACGGCUAACUGCGUGCCAGCAGCCGCGGUAAUACGUAGGUCCCGAGCGUUAUCCGGAUUUAUUGGGCGUAAAGCGAGCGCAGGCGGUUAGAUAAGUCUGAAGUUAAAGGCUGUGGCUUAACCAUAGUACGCUUUGGAAACUGUUUAACUUGAGUGCAGAAGGGGAGAGUGGAAUUCCAUGUGUAGCGGUGAAAUGCGUAGAUAUAUGGAGGAACACCGGUGGCGAAAGCGGCUCUCUGGUCUGUAACUGACGCUGAGGCUCGAAAGCGUGGGGAGCAAACAGG
rnacentral:rRNA from 1 species